AGCCGAUGAUGGUUCAAGAGUAGUGGACAGAAGUGAUUUCUGACAACAUAGAAAAAAUACUGAGGCU